rnacentral:rRNA from 1 species
UACAGAGGGUGCGAGCGUUGUCCGGAAUCACUGGGCGUAAAGGGCGCGUAGGCGGCCUGAUAAGUAGGGGGUGAAAUCCUGUGGCUUAACUGCAGGGCUGCCUCCUAGACUGUUAGGCUCGAGCACGGUAGAGGCAGAUGGAAUUCCCGGUGUAGAGGUGAAAUUCGUAGAUAUUCGGAAGAACACCAGUGGCGAAGGCGACAUACUGGUCCGUUACUGACGCUGAGGCUCGAAAGCGUGGGGAGCAAACAGG